AACGUAGGUGACGAGCGUUAUCCGGAUUUACUGGGCGUAAAGAGCUUGUAGGUGGUUCUGUAAGUUGGGUGUGAAAGCCCCGGGCUUAACUCGGGGAGGUUACUCAAUACUGCAGGGCUAGAGGGUGUCAGAGGGAAGUGGAAUUCCUGGUGUAGCAGUGAAAUGCGUAGAUAUCAGGAGGAACACCCGUGGCGAAGGCGGCUUCCUGGGGCAUUCCUGACACUGAGAAGCGAAAGCUAGGGGAGCGAACGGG
rnacentral:rRNA from 1 species